CCAGACUCCUACGGGAGGCAGCAGUGAGGAAUAUUGGUCAAUGGGCUUACGCCUGAACCAGCCAAGUCGCGUGAGGGAAGACGGCCCUAUGGGUUGUAAACCUCUUUUGUCGGGGAGCAAGGUCGCUACGUGUAGUGAUUUGAGAGUACCCGAAGAAAAAGCAUCGGCUAACUCCGUGCCAGCAGCCGCGGUAAUACGGAGGAUGCGAGCGUUAUCCGGAUUUAUUGGGUUUAAAGGGUGCGUAGGCGGGAGAUCAAGUCAGCGGUAAAAAUGCGGGGCCCAACCCCGUCGAGCCGUUGAAACUGGUUUUCUUGAGUGGGCGAGAGGUAUGCGGAAUGCGUGGUGUAGCGGUGAAAUGCAUAGAUAUCACGCAGAACCCCGAUUGCGAAGGCAGCAUACCGGCGCCCAACUGACGCUGAGGCACGAAAGCGUGGGUAUCGAACAGGAUUAGAUACCCUAGUA
rnacentral:rRNA from 1 species